UGGCGGACGGGUGAGUAAUGUCUGGGAAACUGCCCGAUGGAGGGGGGUAACUACUGGAAACGGUAGCUAAUACCGCAUAACGUCGCAAGACCAAAGAGGGGGACCUUCGGGCCCCUUGCCAUCGGAUGUGCCCAGAUGGGAUUAGCUAGUAGGUGGGGUAACGGCUCACCUAGGCGACGAUCCCUAGCUGGUCUGAGAGGAUGACCAGCCACACUGGAACUGAGACACGGUCCAG
rnacentral:rRNA from 1 species